rnacentral:rRNA from 1 species
AUGCAAGACUACUUCGCGGAGAAUUCAACAUAUCCGCCACACCUCUUCCAGAGAAGGUACCGAAUACGCCGAUCCCUCUUUGUGAAAAUUGUUCAAGCUUGCGAGGCCAAUUGUUGGUAUUUUACUCAAAGAAGAAAUGUCGCAGGCUUGAAAGGAUUUAGUGCAUAUCAAAAAAUCUCCGCAGCUAUGCGGAUAAUUGCAUACGGCAUUCCGGCUGACUAUGCCAAUGAGUACCUUCACAUUGGUGAAGAUACUACAAUUGAGUCAGUGUGUAGGUUUGCCAAAGUGAUCAUCCGUGUCUUUGGUCCUAGAUAUCUUCGGGCACCCAACGAGGAAGACACACAAAAAUUGAUGGCAUCUAAUGAGAGAAGAGGUUGGCCUGGCAUGCUAGGUAGCAUUGACUGUAUGCAUUGGACUUGGAAAAAUUGCCCGAAGGCAUGGCAGGGAAAGUAUUGUGGCAAGUCUCAUGAUGCAACAAUUGUGCUAGAGGCUGUAGCAUCCAUGGAUGUAUGGAUUUGGCAUUGCUUUUUUGGUAUGCUGGGUACUCUUAAUGAGAUCAAUGUGUUGCAAUGGUCUCAUUUGUUUGCUAGGCUUGCUAGUGGUGAUGCUCCUGCUUGCAACUACACUAUCAAUGGGCAUGAAUACACAAAGGGGGUACUAUCUUGCACAUGGUAUAUACCCUCCUUGGUGCACAUUUGUCAAGAGCAUCAAAGAACCCAAAACUAG